UGGUAGAGCAAUUGACUGUUAAUCAAUGGGUCACAGGUUCGAGUCCUGUUAUUCCCGCCA
rnacentral:tRNA from 1 species